GUCUAUGGCCAUGCCACCCUGAACAAGCCCGAUUCCGUCUGAUCUUGGAAGCUAAGCAGGGUCGGGCCUGGUUAGUACUUGGAGGGGAGACCACCUAGGAAGAACAGGUGCUGUAGGCG
rnacentral:rRNA from 1 species